AAAGACGAGUAUUUGUCGCCCUUGGCUGCCUUCAGGUGCGUGGACUUCAACUCCCAGAAUUCCUCGGGCAGCAACGCUGAAAGUAGCCAGGUUUGACACACACUGGCAUAGAUAACACUCAACUAUGGUGAUCCGUCAUUGUAUCCCGGUGGUGGAAAUAUUCCAGAUGCCUGGAUCUAAUUACCGCGAUAAUUGGUCAUUUCAUUAAGCGACACCUUGUGCGCAAAGCUGGGGACCCUGUUUUUUGGAAAAACAAGUCUUAAAAAAAACAAAGCUGUUGCACGGAGGCUGUCGUUCCAUUGUGGGGUUGGAUUUAUUGAAAAUAUAAUAAGUCCAUUUUGCAUUGCUGAAUCUGCACUGUAGGCCUGCAUUUGCAUACGAGUAAAAAUAAAAUAUGUUGGUCCUCACCA